AUGAAACUUUGCAUGCUUGUUAAGAGUCACCUGUUACAUGAUUUCACUGAGUUUCAUAAAGUUUUGAGUUUUCCUUUAGGUUUUAUAGGCUUUGGGGUAUGUUUGGCCACACCCCUUUUUCUAAAUUACCCCGUUACAGCUAACCAAAGGACAAAAUUCAAAAUUUUUUUAAUAAUUAUUGAUCUAGAGAGUCCACAGAAUAUUACUGCAGUGGUUUGGUUCCGAUCGGGCAAAAAACCUAGGACUAGUUCGCAAAAGUAGGUUUUUAACAUAUUUGUGAAUAACAAUUGAACGAUUUGAUUGACAGCAAUGGUUCUUGAGGCAAAGUUGUGCAUUACGAGGAGAUCUAUCAAAUGAUAUGCAUAUUGUGUUGAUAUGUGAAACACCACGUGAUUACAGAGCCAUAAAACUCGUUAGCGCCAACUAGUGGCCGAUUUCUUUCAAAAUUCUUACAGACCUUAAGGUUCAUGAGUCAAACGUACCCAGCGAGUUUCGUUCCGAUCAACAUCCGUUAACCCUUUCAAAUAGGUGCUUAAAAUUGUUUGGCCAAUGGCGGCCAUGUUUUUUGAGAUAUGCAAAUGUCCUCAUAAGUACUUGUGCCCCUUCAGACCAAGACACUGCAUACCAAUUUUCAAGUUGAUUGAGCCAACGGUUGCCUAGUUAUAGCCAUUUAUGUGUUUUUUAAAUCUUAUUGCGCCCCCAAGUGGCAGAGAUGCGCAAUUUUUUUUGUUUGACCAAAGAUUGAGCUCAUACAUAUGUGUACCAAGUUUGGUGAAGAUAUCUCAUUCCGUUCAAGAGUUAUAGUCAAAAUAGCAUUUGGCUAACGUUAGCAUAGACGCUUCUUGGCGUACUGUUUCGCGUAAGAAUCGAAAUUUCAACUUUUUUUUGAUAAUUAUUGAUAUUGAGUGUUCAGGGAAUAUUUCUGAAGUGGUUUGGUUCCGAUUGGUUGAAAAUCCUAGGACUAGUUCGCAAAAGUAGGUUUCGGACAUAGCUCGAUUUUGCGAGAAAACGGUGCGUCGUAGAGCAAAAAAUGCAGCUGUGCACUUUUGUUCGGACUAACCCAAGGAUUGCAACGAUGCCUUGUUUUUGAGUCUACGGCUAACGGUUUACGAUCUGCGGCCAAAAAUGUCCAAAAUUUUUGUUUUUUGCGCUGUAGCGCCCCCGUUAGGCCGAUUGGGCUGAGACUUUGAUAAGUUCUCCCCAAAAUGAGCUCUACGAUCUGUCCAAAUUUCAGCUCUCUAGGCCUUACGGUUUGGGCUGCACGUUCAGUUCUAGGGCAGAAGAAUAAUAAUAAUAAUUAAAGCUGCAAGCAGCAUUUACCGGGGUUCAAGCACAUUAAGGCCUCUGAGGUGGUCUGAGCCAACCUGGAUGCAUGGAUGACAGUUAAACACAUCCAAAAUGGAGAACAGGCUAACAGACAGACACACACACUGAAACUAAAUGAUUAGACUAAUAUAUGUAUACUCUAUAAGCAUAUGCACACACACACACACACACACACACACACACAAAGACACAUAUACAUGCACAAACAUUUUGUUGCAGAUAUAGGUAUUUGAAAUAAGUGAUAGGUGACCAUAAACUUAUUGCAAGUCUUUUCUUUUUAAGAGUUUAGAUGUCAUUUUCAGGUUAAACUGUAAUCAUAAUGUUGGAAAAUUUUAAAAACUGAUAUAUCUGUAUGAACAAAAUGGAAAACAUUGACUCAAUGAGAUUUAAAAUGUUAUAACAGUUAAUUUUUUAAUGUUUUGGCAUGAAUUCAUGAAUCCUUUCAACAGUACUGUUCAACUUUACUGAAUGAGCCCAUUAGUGGUCUUCCGCUGCCAUCUAGUGGUUAUAAAUUGCAUUUACUCCAACAACACUGUGUUUUUAAACAUAACUGUUAUAGUGUUUUUUUUUUUUGCCCAAUCUCUCUUAAAUUUUGCAUGCUUGUUUAGAAUGAAAUUAUGCAUUAUUUUACACAGUUUUGAUUAUUUGUGGGCUUUCUGAUUGUAUUAAUAGGCCUUUGUGUGCACUAUGAAAAGAACAUAUUAUGAAAUGACUAGUUUAUAGUUGCCCAAAUGCAAUUGUUCAACAUGUUUUUGAUAAUUAUUGACCUUCAGAGUCUAGAGAAUUGUACUUCAGUGGUUUUAUUGAUUUUCAUCUUAAACCGUAUCACAAGUAUGCCAAAGUAACUUUUUUAAAUAAUCUUGAAUAUUUAAUUAACAGCUUUAUUGACAACAUUAGUCCCAGAGGCAAAGUUGUUCAGAAUGAGGAGAUUUAUCAUAUGAUAUGAAGAUUUAGUGUUUUUGAGUGAAUAUAUGAACAUUUUCAAACAAUUUGAGGCCAUUUACCAUAUAAAUCUUGUGUUUUGAGACCUUUUCUACUGUUAUAGCGCCACCUAUGGUCUGAUCUCCAUGAA